rnacentral:lncRNA from 1 species
AUGGUCUUGGACUCUUGGGUGCUGCAGAAAUGGGAAAAGCAUUUGGGCAGAAAGACUGGUUUGACGGAAAUACCAACAAAGUCCGACUGUAUAUAUUGGUGCCUACUACAUUUCAUGCCACCUUUUCUGCAAAGAUUUUUGUUGCUUACCUUGCUGUACUCUCAAAGGAUCUGGUGGGUAUUUACUUUUUUUUUUUUUUUUUUUUUUGAGUUUCCAAAUUCUGAUGAGGUUUUUUUUUUUAAGAUUUUAUUUAUUUAUUUGGCAGAGAGAGAGAGAUCACAAGUAGUCAGAGAGGCAGACAAAGAGAGAGGGGGAGGCAGGUCCCCUGCUGAGCAGAGAGCCCGAUGCGGGGCUCGAUCCCAGGACCCUAAGAUCAUGACCUGAGCCGAAAGCAGAGGCUUAGCCCACUGCACCACCUAGGCACCCCUCUAUGAUGAGUUUUAAAACCAUUUUUCUUUAAAAGCCCACUUUUGGGGAGAAGAAUAAAAAACAGCGCAAGGCAAAUUCAGUGUAUGUAGUAUAUAGAUCCCCAAUCAGCAAGUAGAAGCGUGGAGUUCUGAAUUGUCAAAGAUUGUUGACCCCCAGUCAAGUCUAGAGCAGACCUCUUCUAGCUCGAGAUCCUACAACUGUGACAAGAACCAGACUCCUGUGUGAAGCUAUAAAUUCCUAUAAAGCCUGGGCGAUCAAUUCCUGUCCCUGGUGCCUUGUAACAGUGGCCAAGAGAGCCCCUGGCUGAUAGGAGCACAACUCUAAAAGUGUGGCUUGCUCCUGAGCUGGUGACAGGAGCCCACCAACAGCCCAGAGUCAAUAAAGUCCUCCUCUGAGGAAAAGGUGGUGGUUUCUUUGACAAGGACACAAAGACCUCCUCCAUACGCCCCCGCUGGAGGCCUCUAGAAGAAUACCCUAUCUUGACUGUUUCCUAUCAGCAAAGAAAAGUGGCUAAAAGAGCCAUUUCCUGGCCAAAUCCUGAGAUGUAAAUACUCCUACCCCGGGGUCAAAUAUCAAGAGAUAUGUUCAUGACAAAUACGGACACAGCCGGACUGCCUUGCACCAGACACCCCGGAAGGCAGAUGGAGUAGACCAAGCACACUGUCCCCCAGAUCUGUGGCACUAGAGAAAUCUUCUACCGGGGCCACUGGACUCCUAAAUCCGCCAGUUACAGAUCACCAGUUGGAAGCUUUGGUAACCUUACAGGAGCCUAAACUUUGCCCUCUGAUAAAUGGGCGCACUGGUGUCAGCACAGUAGCUAGCCCAGUGAGGUUAUUUUCCCGGGGUAGUGGGAUGGGGAGCACAAGCCAACAGAAGCAGGACAGCGGUCGGUCCCAGCAUCGCGAGGGAAGGUCUAACGCAAGGGGAACAAUACCCGGGGUCAAACGACACACUCGCUCCCCAUUUUGAGAGGUUAUCAGACAGCUGAGGGUGAGGUUUGCUAACUUAACCAUUUGGGAGAAAAGAGCCAGAGGCAGAGAAAGCACACGAUCCCAGACCCCUGGGGAGAAAGGCAGAACCCAAAUCAAGAGGCAUUCUGCUCGGCCCAAUCCUGUGUUUGCUUUGUCCACUGAGAAAACUUUCGAAGAAAAAAUGAUCUUUAUCUAAACGGAGUUUCUUUUGAUAAUUCAAUGCUCUAGUUAAAUUUCAAGGACUCAAUUAAAGUUGUAUAUAAAAACUGUACCGUGGGGUGCCUGGGUGGCUCAGUGGACUGGGCCUCUGCCUUAAGCUCGGGUCAUGAUCCCAGGGUCCUGGGAUGACUGGAGUCAGGCUCUCUGCUCAGCAGGGAGCCUGCUUCCCUUCCUCUCUCUCUCUGCCUGCCUCUCUGUCUACUUGUGAUUUCUGUCUGUUAAAUAAAUAAAUAAAUAAAAUCUUUUUAAAAAACCACAAAAAACCUCGACCUUUAGAGGAAAAAAAUUAAAUACCAUGCAAUAUUAACACUUAUCUUACGUUUUUAAGACACACAAAUUCCAAGAGGGUCUCUGUGAGGAAUCUAAAUUCUGACAUUUUAAUUUGGGGUACUUGAAUGUGAUUUCAAAGUUCCUAAGAGAAUGUGCUACCAAAUAUGCAAAACAGAAGACUUUUUUUUGCAAAUUUGGAAAACACAUCAGAACUUUUUUGUGUCCAUAAAAAUUAAAUUCCAGGCAAAAAGAAUCCCAACAUUACUUAUUUCAUAUUCAAGACAGAAAAUUCUCUCUACUCUAAAAAUGUUGAGUCCCCAUACAAGUUUAUGGACUCCGUGCUAGACAGUCUGCCAGAAAUUCAUGCAUUAUUGACCUUCAAACAGUUGAACUGAGCAGCUCAAAGUCAGCUAAUUACCUGCACACACGAAACCCGAGACCGUCUUUUUUCGGCGCCCGUACUGAAUCACACUGUGAGAAAGGUAUCUUCUACGUGCAUUAGAGAUGACAAUAGAGCAUGAAUAAAACAGCCUGCAGAUCCACUCAAGUUUAAAUUAAAAAAAAAAAAAAAAAAGGAUGUUUUGUUCUAAGUAAUCCAAGAAGCUUCUCUGAUUUUUAAACUGUACUUUUAUCCAAGACAGAAUUUCCAGAUUCCUUUAACAUUAAAACUAAUCCUGCACUUUUAAAAAUGCAAGUAUUUUGUCGCAAUGUGUAUCUCAUCAGAGAUAAGAUGCUGUGCAGAAAUCUCCAUGGCUUGAAAUAGUUAGAUCUAUUGUGUUAUAACCUUAAAUAGGUUCAGAAAAUCAAACAAAAUUGGAACAAAAAAGAGAGAUUUCAGGCCAGCAAAACCAAGCCCCUCUCCGUGUCUCCCUUUUAUUUUAGUAAAAUAAAAGCAUGCAAACACUUUCCCUGGCACUUAGAAACAAAAGAGUUCCAAAGCCGCAGAGACUGGCUCUAGAUCUGAGGGUAGUUGGGUUAUCACCCAGGGAAGCUGGGAUUCUUUCUCAAACGUAGUGAUGUUUAUUUUGAACUCCUAGACACACACCUCCCCUUCUGGGACAUGUCCUCUGUUGAAAAGGCUUCGCUCGGGAGCCUGAGCUGUUCCAACACCACAGUAAUAACCACACUUCGCCCUGUCAGGGGUAGUAACUUAGUCGCCCCUUUCUUUUCGAGGGAUAUAGUCACGAAUAACCACUAUCAGCCGAAUUGCAGAGGCUUUGGGUCUUUAUGACAGGGGCCGCCAUGAUUCAGUUGUCAGACAGAACGUAGGACGUAGAAAAGACACAGAAGUGGCCCUACUUCGGGGAGCCCUUUGGCCUCUAGCAGCCUUCCCCCGACCACCACUCUCAUUCUGGGUAGAGCUAUGGGGACACCUGGCCAGGAGGAAAGGGUGCACAUGACUCAAAACGGCUGGCUUUGUUUUGUUUUUUAAUUUAUUUUUUUUUAAGAUUUUUAUUUAUCAGAUAGAGAUCACACGUAGGCAAAGAGGCAGGCAGAGAGAGAAGAGGAAGCNNNN